rnacentral:rRNA from 1 species
UACGUAGGGCGCAAGCGUUGUCCGGAAUUAUUGGGCGUAAAGAGCUCGUAGGCGGCUUGUCGCGUCUGCCGUGAAAUCCUCCGGCUUAACUGGAGGCGUGCGGUGGGUACGGACAGGCUAGAGUGUGGUAGGGGAGACUGGAAUUCCUGGUGUAGCGGUGGAAUGCGCAGAUAUCAGGAGGAACACCGGUGGCGAAGGCGGGUCUCUGGGCCACUACUGACGCUGAGGAGCGAAAGCAUGGGGAGCGAAC